GACGGCUCAGUAACACGUGGCUAACCUACCCUCGGGUGGGGGAUAACCUCGGGAAACUGAGGAUAAUACCCCAUAGGAGAAGAGGUCUGGAAUGAUCCUUCUCUGAAAACAUAUGUGCCCGAGGAUGGGGCUGCGUCUGAUUAGGUAGUUGGUGGGGUAACGGCCCACCAAGCCUACGAUCAAUACGGGCCUUGAGAGAGGCAGCCCGGAGAUGGGGACUGAGACACGGCCCCAGGCCCUACGGGGCGCAGCAGGCGCGAAACCUCCGCAAUGCACGAAAGUGCGACGGGGGGACCCCAAGUGCUUACGCACUGCGUAGGCUUUUCUAAAGUGUAAAAAGCUUUAGGAAUAAGGGCUGGGCAAGUCCGGUGCCAGCAGCCGCGGUAACACCGGCGGCCCGAGUGGUGACCACUUUUAUUGGGCCUAAAGCGUCCGUAGCCGGUCCAGUAAGUCCCUGUUUAAAUCCUACGGCUUAACCGUAGGGCUGGCAGGGAUACUGCUGGACUUGGGACCGGGAGAGGGCGAGGGUACUUCAGGGGUAGCGGUGAAAUGUGUUGAUCCCUGGAGGACCACCUAUGGCGAAGGCACUCGCCUGGAACG
rnacentral:rRNA from 1 species